CUUAACUGACCUCUUAUUUCUGCAC
rnacentral:piRNA from 1 species